UAGGGAAUCUUAGCUUUGUUAUGACACAACAACGAAUAAUAGCAAUUGGUGUUGUUAACUUUUUUGUCAAGGUCUAAAAGCAUAUGAACGAGGUAGAGUGUAUAGACAUUGUUAACCUACGAAAUGGUUUGGAUGAAAUCAGUGUCCUGUAUGGUGAGUAGGGUUGGGGGAUCCAACCCCUAAAGCUUGGGUUUAUUCAUUGUAGAUGGUCUUUCCACAUUGAGUGCGAUGGGUUGGGGAUGAAGGAAUUAGCUUCCUAAUAUAGUCAUCACAGGGAAUUGCUCCACUGUGUAUUUUAAACUCAUAGUUUGUUUCUCUUAGGCAAAGGAAUCGUUUCCUAGAAGAUUUUGUCUAUCUGAGUAAAGGAAUGUCCUAGACACCAUCUAAAACAAUUAAUUGUGCUUCUGAAAAUUGCUAUUGACUAUGGUGACCCCAUACUUAUUAUGGACCGAUACAAUCUAUGAAGUGGAAGAAAGAAUAAAGCUACUGUUACAGAGCGUUAGCUUGUGUGAAACCUUGUCAAUGUGCAUGCCAUAUAAAGUUAGACAUAAUGUUGAACGAGUGCAAUUAUGAACAUUACCUCCCUCCCCGUUAGUUCAAAUCAUGAGGCCCACUUGAAAUAAUAGGGUGAGUCCCAUUUAAAUUAGUGGGGUCAAUGCAUUUCAACAAAUGGGGAGGGACGUAAUAUUCACCCACCUGAACAUAAUUGCGCUUGUGUUGAGCUAGUAUGACCUAAGGCUAUCUAACUCCACCUUUUGGCCCAUCUGGCCAUUGAUUUUUUGUGUUGAACUAGUAAUAGGCCUUGUUUUAAGCCCAAAGUUGAGUUGAGGCUCUGUUUGUAUUUGUUCUUACCUGGCACCAGCUUAGAUAACACUUAUCUUGUGUUGUGAGGAAACUGAAAAUAAAAAUAACAAAGAAAGAAGCAUAGUGGCUAUGAAGCAGUCCCCAUGUUCGUGUGAGACACAUACAGGACAAAGAUAGCCGGGGAUAUACCAAAAUACAUAUGGAACACAUAUAGCCGGGCCAUGUCCAAUUAAUUUAACUAUUUUUUGUGGGGACAUAUCUAAGACGCGGUAGGGUCACGUUUGAGACACGAUGGGGUACUUUUUACAAUUUAUCAAAUUUGUUUCAGGGCCAAAAUGACCCCCAACAGCCAAAACACUUUAUUUUUAUUUAUACAAACCUACAUCUUUUAUCAAUAGGAAACCCACAAUAUUGUCAAGAGACUAAUAUGUGGGAUAAGGCGGAAGAUAAAUUUACCUCCUUGAUAAUGGUGGGAUCUGUGAGGUUGCAAACAUCUCGCUUGAACCGAGAUGGAGAUUUUGGUGUUUACAGAAUGAUGGAGGUGAUGGCCAAGAAGAUGGUGAUGGCGACUUGGUUUUUGGAUGUUUGAAGAGAUGCUUAUUUGUUUUUUAGUUUUACUGGAUUGUAUUGAUGAUUAUUGAUACAACAUCCUUGUUUGCUUGAUUGUUUAGAUAUUGUAUUUAUAUUUUGUCUUGUGUCAUUUGUUUUGUAUCUUGUGAUUUGUCUUUUUAACCCACCAUUGCUUGCUUUCCCGAUGUGUAUGUUUCCAAGCGUAGAAACUUGUGGCCAAUGUAGCAUAAUACUCAGAAUACCCGAGGUCAAUUCUCCACAGGGAACUAAUGAUAAGCCGAAUUUUAUAUAGUGAGUAAAUGAAUAAUUGAAUAUUAAAGCUAUAAAAAAGGUUUUUGGGUGGAAUUGUUGGUUUCUUUAUACUAUGGUGAUUUAACUAUGAAUUUAAAAGAGGCAAGGUCCAAAAACUCGAUUCCUUCUUAAUUUUGGUAGGUGAGUUUUUUCUCUCAUUUUAAGUCAAGCACAUCUCAUUUUACUAUGAUAUUGGUCGGAAGAUUUAGCUUUAAAAUCAUAUUCUUCAUACAAAGGAGUAUUUAUAAAUGAUUAAGGGCUUUGAAACAUUAUAUCAAACACUUAGAGUGUAAGGGAAGUAAGCAUCACAUGUUCCAAGUCAAACUUGUUGACACAUGAUCUAAGAUAUAUACAACCCUAGUUAAGACCAAAAUUUUUUCCCUUAAAUAUUUACAAACAAGCAUUUUAACCAUUUGAGAGAAAUAAAACCACCAAACCUAGGUCAAAAAUGGAAUCUAACUCUUAGACCAAGCCUAGUAGUUGAGCCAACCAUUAAUGGUGUAGAGUUCACCCUAGCCCCAGCACAAACCUUUACCCAACUUACUCCAGCCCAAGCCCCAAAAUAUAAACUGUCAGCCCAAGCCCCAAAAUAUAAACUGUGAAACCGAGCCGAACCAUCUGUUCAUUUAAGUUCACAGUUCGGUUCGAUUCAAUUCGGAGAAAGGGCAAAUCGUGUCUUACGGUUCGGUUCACGGUUUGGUCCUAAAUUUGACCAAACUGAACUGUGAUCACCCCAAUUCGUCUGUAUUGACGACUACAACUACUUACCCUCAAUCUCGAGGAGAGUUUUUAUUUAUGAAAAUCCACCUACACUACUUGAGGAGAAAAAAUGACCACUGCCUCACUCAAAAAGCUAGAGAAAUUCAAAUAUUAAAUAGAUAGAGCGCCGGAGCUAUCAUUCCUUGGGAAUAGCAAUUAUCUGCUUCCUGAAUAGAAAACAGAGUUCCAAACAUUUUACAAGACACGUACAAGAUAUUUUAGAAAACCAUGCAAAUAAGAUUUGUUUACAAUGCACAUGUAAAAUGCUAAUAAAAUGGCUAGGGAACGUCACCAUUGCCAUUAUAAGGGACCACUACCAUUCCGACAGUGCUGAUUUGCCCGGAUGCCGACAUCAACAACGGCAACAACCAUGAGAAGAUCAGGCGCCCCUCUGCUGAGUCAGCACCCCCGCUGGCUGGGAACAAUCCUGUAAUGGAAGGUGAAAUCACAAACUUCUAUGCACAAUUGGGUCAAAGAGAUCGCAGAUCUGGUCAAAGAGAACCCUUCGGUACCUUUCAUUUGACACCCUUUGGCAGAAAAUGAAAAUAAGACUCAAGGAUGGAGGACAAGACCCCAAUAACAUGGCCAUCAAUGAACAUGGAGCAAUCUCGCCACCAGCAGAAUAAAGACAAACCGUAAACCAACCUUGCAUAACACUGAACACCAGUGGAAGUGACAUCUGGUCUCCAAAUGGACUUGAAGCACAAGGGAUGACAUCGAAUGGGCAACGCCAUAUCGUGACUUUAAAGUCCCAGGUCAAUCAGUAGAUCUCAUGCAACAACCCAAACCCACACCUUCGAAACCCUUUUUCACAAAUCAACUUGAAAUACAAGGGAAGGAGAGCGAGCAUUGAGACCUAUAGGAAAAAUCCAUGAAAAAGUAAUGGAGUUCCCAACAAAGCCCCACAGAAAACCCUAGAGAAGAACUUAGAGAGAGAGAGAGAAGCACCCACACAAAAUUCACAUCCUUCCCACUCUUAAAAAGGUCCAAUUUAAAUUUUAAUAGUUGGCUACUAAUAAAACUUACUAAAUAUCUUCCGGAUGUGGGAGUUCCUUGGCAUCACAUAAAUAAAUGACAUUUUAAAGUAUACAAAAUUUAUAUGAUUAGUGUUUCCUUGACUUGUCGUUUCUACAGUUUUGAAAACUUGUCGUGAACGUUUUGCGUGUAUGUGUCCAUUCUACUUAGACUAUCAUCUAUGUUAGAUGGACUCGAGUACGAGUAUAGAGUGCAGGUGCAUGUCCAAGCAUCAGACCUUGCAGGGACACUUCCUGAACUCUUGUAGUAUAUAUUGCAUAAUACUCUCAGAUAUUACGUCGUAAAUUAUUUAGAAAUGUACUUGAAAUCAAAUAAGAUUAAGUAUGAAAUUUCUAUCUCUUAUCCAUGAUAAAGGCUAGAAAUGUUUCUUUUUUUAGCUAAUAUAAACUUUUUUCCCUUCAAUAUUAAAAGAUUUAAAGGAUUCGGGUGUCUGAAUUGGGUACUGGUGUCAAACACAUAUCCCACACUCAUAUCCCUAUCAUAUCCAUAAGACACGGAUGAAGUCUGAAUCUGGUAUGGCUUGACUUGAUCCAAUUAUUUGCAAGAGGAGUAGAAGAUGGGACCAUGGUGACACCGGUGUGGUAUCGGCCAAAGACCCUCCAAUGCUUACGCUAGUAAACUUAGCAUAUUUUGAGAAAAAGAUGUAGGGAAGAUGAAGUGUAGAGUUAGGGCAUUUUUUAGAGAGAGACAUACUUUUUUGUCUUCCAUCUCUUAUUUAUAUAGGAGGUCUUGGUUAUAUAUAGUGGGUCUUCCUCACACUUGUUAUUGGGUCCAGUUGUUCAUUGGACUUUUGCCCCAAUGGAUCCACCCAAUAUCUACUUAUUAGUAGUCCCCUAUUCUCAAGGCAUGCCUUGGUCAAGCGGCAAAGAGAAUUAUAAUAUACUGGAAUGUCUAAUCAAUUAUAGUCCUCCAUUCCCAAGCUAGUCAAGUGAGAUAGUCUUAAUAGUGUGGUCUUUAAUUUUCUCUUUUCAUAAAGGAGUAUUCUAUUUAUUGUAUUAUGGGUUAUGAGGGUUGAGAAGGUUUUAGCUCAUCCAAGUGAGGGAUGAUCUACGCUUGAGGAAGUGCUGAAAAUGCUUGAGCUCAUCCAUGUAGAGGAUGAUCUACCACAAAAAAUGAUAUACCCUUGAGGAAUAGCUGAAAGAGUUUGAGCCCAUCCAAGUGAGAGGUGACCUACCCAUAAUGAAAGGAGGAAAUUAAAGACCACACCAUUUAAGACUCUCUCACUUGACCAAUUAUUGUCUUGGGAAUGGGGUCUACAAUUGAUUAGACAUUUGACUAUGUUAUAAUUCUCUUCGUCUGACCAACACACGCCUCGAGAAUAGAGGAAUACUAAUAAAUAGAUAUUGGAUUGGCCCAUAAAGGCAAAUGUCCAAUGGCCAAUUGGACCUAAAUAACUUGUGUAAGGGACCCACUACAUCUUAGGGCAUCCCACCAAAGACCUCCUAUAUAAAGAAGAGAUGGAAGACAAAAGGGUAUGUCUUUCUCUGUCUCCACAAAAAUGCCCUAUCUCUACAUCUUUUCUCCAAAAUUUGCUAAGUUUA
rnacentral:lncRNA from 1 species